rnacentral:rRNA from 1 species
UACGGAGGGUGCAAACGUUGCUCGGAAUCAUUGGGCGUAAAGCGCACGUAGGCGGCCUUGUAAGUCGGAUGUGAAAUCCCUGGGCUUAACCGAGGAAGUGCAUUCGAAACUGCAAGGCUUGAAUACAGGAGAGGAUCGCGGAAUUCCUGGUGUAGCGGUGAAAUGCGCAGAUAUCAGGAAGAACACCCGUGGCGAAGGCGGCUCUCUGGGACGGUACUGACGCUGAGACGCGAAAGCGUGGGGAGCGAACAGG